UCGACGCAGGACAGCGGCUCUCAGAGACUCAGCGACGGCUUCAGGAGGAGCCUCCCGCCGCAGGGGCUUCUGGGAAAUGUAGCCCCACUGAGAAAGAGCCAAGGCCUGAACCAGGACCUGAAACCAGGACUAACCGAAGAUAAAACGUCAGGACUGAACCAGAGACUGUGGGACCGCGGGAAGGAGAACCUCAACCCGGGCCAGGACCAGGAACCGGACCCUUCUCCAGACUUGAACCCGGUCUCAGAGGAUCUAAACCCGAUCUCAGAGGGUUUGGGUCUCAUCCCGUGUGGAGCAGCUGAGGAACAGUCUGGAAACGUCAG
ensembl:lncRNA